GAUCCAGUCGUUGGCUUAGUGGUUAAAGCGUCUGCCUCUGAUGUGGGAGGUCGCUUGUUCAAACCCCGGUUGAGUCA